rnacentral:rRNA from 1 species
UACGAAGGGGGCUAGCGUUGCUCGGAAUGACUGGGCGUAAGGGGCGCGUAGGCGGAUGGCACAGUCAGAUGUGAAAUUCCCGGGCUUAACCUGGGGGCUGCAUUUGAUACGUGUGAUCUAGAGUGAGGAAGAGGGUCGUGGAAUUCCCAGUGUAGAGGUGAAAUUCGUAGAUAUUGGGAAGAACACCGGUGGCGAAGGCGGCGACCUGGCCCGGUACUGACGCUGAGGUGCGAAAGCGUGGGGAGCAAACAGG